rnacentral:rRNA from 1 species
AUGGCUUGUGUCCUGGUUGGCAAUUGCCUUUAUUGGGUUCUUAUUGGCGAGAGUCCACGCAUACUUGAGUUUGAUUUGGAUAGGCAGAGCUUAACUUCGAUACAUAUGCCAGUGGACAUGUACAACAAUAAUGCUUGCCAUUUCUCAUUUAUGCGAGUGGAGGGUGGUGUCCUUUGUUUCCUCAUUUUAGCAUGGGACUUCAAUGCCCAAUUAUGGAAUAUGGAGAAAAAUUGUGAUGGUGUUGUUUCAUGGGUGCUGAGAACAACCAUUGAAUUGGACAAGCUACUUUCCCUCAAACUAGAUGAGGUAGGGCCCCAACUGAUAAUAGGGUUUGACAAGGACAAUAAUGUGUUCUUCCUGUCGACAAAAGUCGGCGUCUUCAUGGUCCACCUUAAGUCAUUGCAGUUCAAGGAACUUUCCAAAACCCACCACUUGUCUCACUAUCAUCCAUUCGAAAGUGUCUACACUGCAGAUAUUGGCGGUGAAAGUGAUGGAGCUGAACUUUUUGCACAACAUGCAAGAUAA